rnacentral:rRNA from 1 species
AUGAUCCGGCCCAGCUCCAAGGAGUCACUUAAUUAUGACAACAAUAGCCAGAAAGUUUAUCCUCAACCCAUUGAUGAAAAUAUGAAUCAGAACAUGGGCAGUAUGAUUGGAAGAAUAUUCAACAACAUAUCCUCUUUAAAGGCUGCAUACAUUCAGCUGCAGGAAGCUCACACCCCAUACGACCCAGACAAAAUACAAACUGCUGAUAAGCUUGUCAUAGAUGAGCUCACAAGCCUUUCAGAACUCAAACAUACUUACAGAGAGAGAAAUCCUAAGCCAGUGGCAGCAUCACCACAAGAUUCACGCUUGCUUUCUGAAAUACAGGAGCAGCAGAACUUGUUAAAGACAUACGAGGUCAUGGUAAAGAAGUUCCAGUCCCAGAUCCAGAAUAGAGAUACUGAGAUUAUCCACUUACAGCAGCAAACCGAUGAGGCCAAACAUCGGAAAACAAAACUGGAGAAGAAAUUGAAACAAAGGGGCUUACUUAACAAGGAGUCAGAGGAAUCUGAUGAAGAAGAGAGCUAUUUCUCUGUUGAGCUGACACCAAGCUUGUUUACAUCUACUGCUGAUAAUGCAUACCAAUCAAUACAUGAGUUCUCAAAGCCCUUGAUCAACAUGAUGAAAGCUGCAGGUUGGGAUCUUGAUGCUGCUGCUAACGCGAUUGAACCUGAUGUAGUUUACACAAGGAGAGCUCACAAGAAGUAUGCGUUUGAGUCCUAUAUCUGCCAGAGAAUCUUCAGUGGUUUCCAUCAAGAGAACUUCUCGAUCGAUGCUGCUAAUGCCACUGUUUCCAAUGAGGCUUUCUUCCAUCAAUUCCUCGCAGUACGAGCCAUGGAUCCUUUGGAUGUAUUGAGCCAAAACCCAGAUUCAGUUUUCGGUAAGUUCUGCAGAAGCAAAUACCUAUUACUUGUGCACCCAAAGAUGGAAGGUUCUUUCUUCGGCAAUAUGGAUCAGAGAAACUACGUCAUGAGUGGCGGGCAUCCAAGGACACCUUUCUAUCAGGCAUUUCUCAAGUUGGCGAAGUCCAUAUGGUUGUUGCACAGGCUGGCCUACUCUUUCGACCCAAAGGUCAGGGUCUUCCAAGUGAAGAAGGCAAGCGAGUUCUCGGAGAUUCACAUGGUAAGUGUUGUGAAGAACAUCAUCUUGGAUGAGAAUGCCGAGAGGCCUAGAGUCGACUUGAUGGUGAUGCCUGGUUUCUUGAUCGGGACUAGCGUCAUACAGUCUCGAGUGUACCUUUCUGGUGUGAAGUGUGCCGACUAA